UACGUAGGGGGCAAGCGUUGUCCGGAUUUAUUGGGCGUAAAGGAUGCGUAGGCGGACAUUUAAGUCAGAUGUGAAAUACCCGAGCUUAACUUGGGUGCUGCAUUUGAAACUGGGUGUCUAGAGUGCAGGAGAGGUAAGUGGAAUUCCUAGUGUAGCGGUGAAAUGCGUAGAGAUUAGGAAGAACACCAGUGGCGAAGGCGACUCUUUGGCCUGUAACUGACACUGAGGCGCGAAAGCGUGGGGAGCAAACAGG
rnacentral:rRNA from 1 species